AGCUCAUCAAUUAAUUAAAGAAGGACCCAAAUACUUAAUAAAAUCGGCCCAACAACAAUUAAUAAAAUGGCCCAAGUCUUGGCCCAACAACAAGCCCAACAAUUAACUAUGGCCCAAAGCCCAUCCUUCAUCCUUUAACCUAUCUCCACACACACUAUUUCACAUUCAAACACACACACUAAGCUGCGCCUCAAUUCUCUCUCUCGCCUCUGCCCUCUCCGCCGCGCCUCGCCGGGAUGCUCGCCGGACGGAGGCCGGCGUCGGCCCCUCUCCUCUCUCCCUGAACUCAUUCCCCCUCUCUUCUCCUCUAUCUCUCUCGCCUCUAUCGGCCGCUAUCGUUCAUCUUUCUCUCUCAAGAAUGACGGAACAAGGCGGCAGACGCACGCCGCUGUCAAAGCGGUGCGCCGCCGUCGCCGGCCGCCGCCUGCUCCCUCGUUCUCGCGGCAGAUCCGCCGCGGCCUGAAGACCACGGCGUCGUCGCUCAUCUCGCCAUCUCCAUUUCCUUCUCUUCUAUUUAUCUCUCUACACGCCCUGACCCUCUCCCUCUCUUUCCUCGAUCUGCCGGAACAGGACGCACGCCGCCGUCAAAACGGUGCGCCGCCGCUGCUGCCUCCGUCGUCCUCGCCGGUGGCUCACGGCCAGGAGCCGUCGACCCCGACAACCAGAACGAAACCACGGCUCCGCCGCCUUCCGUCGACCAUCGGCAGCCACCACGGCUGCCGUCCCCUGACCUCGACUCAUACACACAGCAGGGGUUCAAGCCUCAAAACAGUCACACAUAGCAUAUAGGAUUUAUCACAAUUUCAAAUACUGUAAAUUUCAGUUCAUAUGUAACCUAUCUUGUAACUGUAAAUUUGUGAAUUUGUUACUCAUUUUCUACAUAUAUCAAAGCAUUUGUAAUCCUUUGUUGAUGAA